CUUUAAAAAACCCAGUGAACUUCCUUUAUCUGAACUUUUUUACUGUACUGAUAUCAGCUCGUUAAAAAAGGAGACUGGAGGCUCGUAUAUAAGCCGGUUACAGAAUGCUCUGGCCAAUCCGGAGGAGUAUAAUAUGCGUUUGGAUUCUAAAAAAGUUACAGAGUCGCUAUACGAAUUCGCAAGGUCGAGCCCCUACAUUUGCGUGGUUUACAAAAUAUACCUAAACUGCGGGAAGCUUAUAAACUUAUACGAUCUUUUUACUUCAUUCUGUGAAUUAAUUGAACCUAACUUGGAUGUCACUAUAAAUACUGAAAGAAGAAAUGAGUUACACGUUUAUUUUAUGGAGGCCGUCACCGAACUUCAUUAUAUGGGAUUCAUUAAAAAUACAAACAGAAAAACGGACCACGUUGAACGAAUCCUU